rnacentral:rRNA from 1 species
AACGAACGCUGGCGGCAUGCCUAACACAUGCAAGUCGAACGAACCCUUCGGGGUUAGUGGCGCACGGGUGCGUAACGCGUGGGAAUCUGCCCUUUGCUUCGGAAUAACUCAGGGAAACUUGUGCUAAUACCGGAUGAUGUCUUCGGACCAAAGAUUUAUCGGCAAGGGAUGAGCCCGCGUAGGAUUAGGUAGUUGGUGGGGUAAAGGCCUACCAAGCCGACGAUCCUUAGCUGGUCUGAGAGGAUGAUCAGCCACACUGGGACUGAGACACGGCCCAGACUCCUACGGGAGGCAGCAGUGGGGAAUAUUGGACAAUGGGCGAAAGCCUGAUCCAGCAAUGCCGCGUGAGUGAUG